GUGCUUGCGUUGACAGUACAUAUACUAAAGCUGGAACAAUACAGUUAGUAUGGCCCUUGCACGAGAAUGAUAGGCAAAUUAAGUCUUUAAAAAUGUGA
rnacentral:snRNA from 1 species